GUGACGUCAGAAGCUACCACGCCCAUGCCCAAAUUCAUGCAACACAUUCUCGUUAACAUUUAAAAACAGGAAGAACUAUCGAGAAGAGAAGACUAGAAGACGAAGGCAAUCAUAAAUGCCCUGGCUGUCUCCUGGCUGGGAUAUCUCCUCACAGGAGGCUGAGCAGGUCUUCCUUUCUGGUCUGGAUUAUCAUUGCAGAGUUGAAGCCAUUCCUGCAGCAACUGGUGGAAAACGGGGGAUCUUUUUGGUGCUUUUGUUCUAGCAUAAAUAAUUUUGUUCUUUCGUAUAAUAUAAAUGAAUACAUAUGUAUAUAUAAAUAAAUUCAUGCUUGAAUCAUUCGCAAGUUUUGCCUUCUGAUAUUCUGGCCAUAUCAUUUAGUGACUGCAUGUGCUGAUUCCAUCGUUAUUUUAUCUGAUAAUGAGCAAAUUAGUUAAACUUAAGUAGGUUAAUCAAUAUACAGUAUAAUUCAAGAAACUAGGGCUCACACCACUUUUCAGUUGAAUAAGAUUGAUAUACAUUUUUAAUUUGUUUUGUAUGAAUUUACAUUUUUGUAAAUGUCUCUGAUGC